rnacentral:rRNA from 1 species
AUGUGGGAGAUCACACCCCAUUAUGCUGAGAAGCUAGAGGUGGAAAAGGAAAGGGCCAGGUACUACAAACCCAUUCAAGCUGGUGUAAAUCUAUGGCAAGUGACAAGUGGGCAGCAAACACAUCCAGUCAACUUGGACAUGCAUACAUGUGGUUUUAGAAAGUGGGACCUAUCUGGCAUACCAUGCAACCAUGCUGUAUCUUCCAUUAGCAAGGCAAAAAGGUUUCCAGAGGACUAUGUUUCUAUAUUCUUCAAAAAACCUUUUUACAUAGCAUCAUAUGAACAUAUGAUAUAUCCUGUCCUUGGUGAACAUGACUGGACAAAGACAGCUGGACCAGACAUAGAUCCACCUGAAUUUCAUGUGAAGAGAGGAAGGAAAAAAGAGAAGAGGAUAAAGGGCAGGUACACCAAUUGCAAGGUUCAACUAAAACCAGAGCUGGCUAUGAGGAAAAACAAGCAUGUGGCACCUGCAAGAUCAAGGAAUGCUCAUGAAGCUACUCCACCUGCAAGAUCACAGCCCCCACAUGCAUCUGGUGCUAGAUCUGCUUCUGCAAGGGCAUCUAGUGCUAGAUCUGCUGCUGCAAGGGGAUCUGGUGCUAGAUCUGCUACUGCAAGGGCAACUGGUGCUAGAUCUCCUACUGUAAGAGACCAAAGGCCAUUCUUUGCUCCAAGAUCUUCCUCUGGAGCUUCAACUUCUGGUGCAAGGGCAUCUGAUGACCCAAUAAGUCAUUCUGGAUGGAUGUCCUUUUUCAAUGCCAGUAGGGGAGGUCAAAACUGA